GCUUGCUUGUUGGGGUUGUAGGACACUCUAUACGGAGUUACAAAGGACGACAUUAGACGAAUCAUCUGGAAAGAUGAAUCAAAGAAGGUAAUAAUCCUGUAGUCGAAAAUGUUGUCUCUCUUGAGUGGAUCCUGAGUACGACGGAGCACGUGAAAUUCCGUCGGAAUCUGGGAGGACCAUCUCCUAAGGCUAAAUACUCUCUAGUGACCGAUAGUGAACCAGUACCGUGAGGGAAAGGUGAAAAGCACCCCGGAAGGGGAGUGAAAUAGAACCUGAAACCGUGUGCUUACAAGUAGUCAGAGCCCGUUAAUGGGUGAUGGCGUGCCUUUUGUAGAAUGAACCGGCGAGUUACGAUUUGAUGCAAGGUUAAGCAGUAAAUGUGGAGCCGUAGCGAAAGCGAGUCUGAAUAGGGCGUUUAGUAUUUGGUCGUAGACCCGAAACCAGGUGAUCUACCCUUGGUCAGGUUGAAGUUCAGGUAACACUGAAUGGAGGACCGAACCGACUUACGUUGAAAAGUGAGCGGAUGAACUGAGGGUAGCGGAGAAAUUCCAAUCGAACCUGGAGAUAGCUGGUUCUCUCCGAAAUAGCUUUAGGGCUAGCCUCAAGUGAUGAUUAUUGGAGGUAGAGCACUGUUUGGACGAGGGGCCCCUCUCGGGUUACCGAAUUCAGACAAACUCCGAAUGCCAAUUAAUUUAACUUGGGAGUCAGAACAUGGGUGAUAAGGUCCGUGUUCGAAAGGGAAACAGCCCAGACCACCAGCUAAGGUCCCAAAAUAUAUGUUAAGUGGAAAAGGAUGUGGCGUUGCCCAGACAACUAGGAUGUUGGCUUAGAAGCAGCCAUCAUUUAAAGAGUGCGUAAUAGCUCACUAGUCGAGUGACACUGCGCCGAAAAUGUACCGGGGCUAAACAUAUUACCGAAGCUGUGGAUUGUCCUUUGGACAAUGGUAGGAGAGCGUUCUAAGGGCGUUGAAGCAUGAUCGUAAGGACAUGUGGAGCGCUUAGAAGUGAGAAUGCCGGUGUGAGUAGCGAAAGACGGGUGAGAAUCCCGUCCACCGAUUGACUAAGGUUUCCAGAGGAAGGCUCGUCCGCUCUGGGUUAGUCGGGUCCUAAGCUGAGGCCGACAGGCGUAGGCGAUGGAUAACAGGUUGAUAUUCCUGUACCACCUAUAAUCGUUUUAAUCGAUGGGGGGACGCAGUAGGAUAGGCGAAGCGUGCGAUUGGAUUGCACGUCUAAGCAGUAAGGCUGAGUAUUAGGCAAAUCCGGUACUCGUUAAGGCUGAGCUGUGAUGGGGAGAAGACAUUGUGUCUUCGAGUCGUUGAUUUCACACUGCCGAGAAAAGCCUCUAGAUAGAAAAUAGGUGCCCGUACCGCAAACCGACACAGGUAGUCAAGAUGAGAAUUCUAAGGUGAGCGAGCGAACUCUCGUUAAGGAACUCGGCAAAAUGACCCCGUAACUUCGGGAGAAGGGGUGCUCUUUAGGGUUAACGCCCAGAAGAGCCGCAGUGAAUAGGCCCAAGCGACUGUUUAUCAAAAACACAGGUCUCUGCUAAACCGUAAGGUGAUGUAUAGGGGCUGACGCCUGCCCGGUGCUGGAAGGUUAAGAGGAGUGGUUAGCUUCUGCGAAGCUACGAAUCGAAGCCCCAGUAAACGGCGGCCGUAACUAUAACGGUCCUAAGGUAGCGAAAUUCCUUGUCGGGUAAGUUCCGACCCGCACGAAAGGCGUAACGAUUUGGGCACUGUCUCAACGAGAGACUCGGUGAAAUCAUAGUACCUGUGAAGAUGCAGGUUACCCGCGACAGGACGGAAAGACCCCGUGGAGCUUUACUGUAGCCUGAUAUUGAAAUUCGGCACAGCUUGUACAGGAUAGGUAGGAGCCUUUGAAACGUGAGCGCUAGCUUACGUGGAGGCGCUGGUGGGAUACUACCCUAGCUGUGUUGGCUUUCUAACCCGCACCACUUAUCGUGGUGGGAGACAGUGUCAGGCGGGCAGUUUGACUGGGGCGGUCGCCUCCUAAAAGGUAACGGAGGCGCUCAAAGGUUCCCUCAGAAUGGUUGGAAAUCAUUCAUAGAGUGUAAAGGCAUAAGGGAGCUUGACUGCGAGACCUACAAGUCGAGCAGGGUCGAAAGACGGACUUAGUGAUCCGGUGGUUCCGCAUGGAAGGGCCAUCGCUCAACGGAUAAAAGCUACCCCGGGGAUAACAGGCUUAUCUCCCCCAAGAGUUCACAUCGACGGGGAGGUUUGGCACCUCGAUGUCGGCUCAUCGCAUCC
rnacentral:rRNA from 1 species